rnacentral:ncRNA from 2 species
UGAAGAGCUUCCUGCCUUGAUAAAGCCUGCCUUCUUAAAGGGUUCCUCACACUUGAUCCCUAGGGACUCUUCGAGCCUACCCAUGGCCUCCUUCUCUGAGUAUCUUCCCACUCUGCUCCCCUCUCACUCAGGAAGUACUGUGAGAGUCUUGCCUGUUGCCGCCCACUCAGCACAGCCAACUUUGGCAAGAUCAUCAGAGAGAUCUUCCCUGACAUCAAAGCUCGAAGGCUUGGUGGCCGGGGCCAGUCCAAAUAUUGCUACAGUGGCAUAAGGAGGAAGACCUUGGUGUCUAUGCCACCCCUGCCUGGACUUGACCUAAAGGGUUCUGAGAGUCCAGAAAUGGGCCCAGAAGUAACCCCAGCACCUCGAGAUGAACUGGUGGAGGCAGCGUGUGCCCUGACCUGUGACUGGGCAGAGCGGAUCCUGAAACGGUCCUUCAGUUCCAUCGUUGAGGUCGCCCGCUUCCUGCUACAGCAGCAUCUCAUCUCUGCCCGAUCUGCACAUGCCCAUGUGCUUAAG